GGGGAUAUAGCUUAGGGGUAGAGCAUCGCUUUUGCAUAGCGAAUGUCGGUGGUUCGAAUCCACUUAUCUCCA
rnacentral:tRNA from 1 species